GACGAACGCUGGCGGCGUGCCUAAUACAUGCAAGUAGAACGCAGUUGCGAACGGGUGAGUAACGCGUAGGUAACUGCCUCGUAGCGGGGGGUAACUAUUUGAAACGGUAGCUAAUACCGCCUACUGUGAGAUAGACCGGCGUUGUAUUAGGUAGUUGGGGAGGUAAAGGGUCCCCAAGGCGACGAUACAUAGCCGACCUUAGAGGGUGAUCGGACAAACCUGGACUUAGACACGGCCCAGGCCUCCUAGGGAGGUAGCAGGAGGGAAUUUUCGGAAAUUGAAGGAAGUCUGACCGAGCAACGCCGCGUGAGUGAAGAAGGUUUUCGGGUCGUAAAGCUCCGUUGUUCGAGAAGCGUUAACUAACCAGAAAGGGACGGCUAACUACGUGCCAGCAGCCGCGGUAAUUC
rnacentral:rRNA from 1 species